GAUGAACGCUGGCGGCGUGCUUAACACAUGCAAGUCGAGCGAUCUUCUUCGGAAGAGAGCGGCGGACGGGUGAGUAACGCGUGGGUAACCUGCCUCAUACACAUGGAUAACAUACCGAAAGGUAUGCUAAUACAAGAUGAUAUAAGAGAUUCGCAUGAAUUUCUUAUCAAAGCUCCAGCGGUAUGAGAUGGACCCGCGUCUGAUUAGCUAGUUGGUAAGGUAACGGCUUACCAAGGCGACGAUCAGUAGCCGACCUGAGAGGGUGAUCGGCCACAUUGGAACUGAGACACGGUCCAAACUCCUACGGGAGGCAGCAGUGGGGAAUAUUGCACAAUGGGCGAAAGCCUGAUGCAGCAACGCCGCGUGAGCGAUGAAGGCCUUCGGGUCGUAAAGCUCUGUCCUCAAGGAAGAUAAUGACGGUACUUGAGGAGGAAGCCCCGGCUAACUACGUG
rnacentral:rRNA from 1 species